rnacentral:rRNA from 1 species
AGAGUUUGAUCAUGGCUCAGGAUGAACGCUAGCUACAGGCUUAACACAUGCAAGUCGAGGGGCAGCAUGGUCUUAGCUUGCUAAGGCUGAUGGCGACCGGCGCACGGGUGAGUAACACGUAUCCAACCUGCCGUCUACUCUUGGACAGCCUUCUGAAAGGAAGAUUAAUACAAGAUGGCAUCAUGAGUCCGCAUGUUCACAUGAUUAAAGGUAUUCCGGUAGACGAUGGGGAUGCGUUCCAUUAGAUAGUAGGCGGGGUAACGGCCCACUAGUCUUCGAUGGAUAGGGGUCUGAGAGGAAGGUCCCCANAUUGGAACUGAGACACGGUCCAAACUCCUACGGGAGGCA